rnacentral:rRNA from 1 species
CGUUCCCGGGCCUUGUACACACCGCCCGUCACACCACGAAAGUCGGUAACACCCGAAGCCGGUGGCCCAACCCUUGUGGAGGGAGCCGUCGAAGGUGGGAUCGGCGAUUGGGGUG